rnacentral:rRNA from 1 species
GUGCGAGCGUUGUCCGGAAUUAUUGGGCGUAAAGAGCUUGUAGGCGGUUUGUCGCGUCUGCUGUGAAAAUCCGGGGCUCAACCCCGGACUUGCAGUGGGUACGGGCAGACUAGAGUGUGGUAGGGGAGACUGGAAUUCCUGGUGUAGCGGUGAAAUGCGCAGAUAUCAGGAGGAACACCGAUGGCGAAGGCAGGUCUCUGGGCCACUACUGACGCUGAGAAGCGAAAGCAUGGGGAGCGAACAGG